AGGGCACCACCAGGAGCGGAGCCUGCGGCUUAAUUUGACUCAACACGGGGAAACUUACCCGGCCUGGACACUGGAAGGAUUGACAGAUUGAGAGCUCUUUCUUGAUUCAGUGGGUGGUGGUGCAUGGCCGUUCUUAGUUGGUGGAGCGAUUUGUCUGGUUAAUUCCGAUAACGAACGAGACUCUAGCCUAUUAAAUAGGCUCUCGGCUUUUAAACGCCGGGAGGACUUCUUAGAGGGACAGGUGGCGGUUCAGCCGCACGAAAGAGAGCAAUAACAGGUCUGUGAUGCCCUUUGUUGCCCGGGGCCGCACGCGCGCUGCACUGAAGAGAUCAGCGUGCUUUACGUUCCUGCUCCGACCGGAGUGGGGAACCCAGUGAACCUUCUUCGUGAUUGGGAUAGAAGAUUGUAAUUAUUCUUCUUGAACGAGGAAUUCCCAGUAAAUGCGAGUCAUAAGCUCGCGUUGAUUACGUCCCUGCCCUUUGUACACACCGCCCGUCGCUACUACCGAUUGAACGAUUU
rnacentral:rRNA from 1 species